rnacentral:lncRNA from 1 species
AAAAAUAAAAACUUUGGUUGAUAUAUACGAGAAUUCAUUUUGAAGUGUUCUACAUAACACCUUUUUUAUGUUGUCAUUCAACAUUUUCGCCCUCCCACUCAAACGAUAAAGAAAUUGCAGAACCGUUUGUCUACGAAAUCCUAAAUAGAUCGAACUACAUUUGGUUUAAUUGAAGUUGAACCUCACACGUUACAUCAGAUACAGUUGACAUUUCCCAUCAUUUCUCAUUCUGAUUCUAUAAAUAUAAGCAUUGGCUACAUCACAAAACAGCAAGUUCAAUCGAGGGGUAUCACAUCUUGUAACAUCAUUUGGUACUUUCACUGGGCCUUUUGGUUUCAUUCAUAGUCAUAUAAGAAACUUCACAUGACAAAAUGUGGCCAUGCAUGCAUGCAGCAUCUCAAGCACUUGACUC